AUGCAAGUUAUCGUAUCUACUUGUGCUGAUGGAGCAUCAGAUACUUAUUGCAGAAAGUUAAAUUUGUUCAAGAUUUUUGUCAUAUUUUUCUUCCAAUCUUUGCUUUGGAAACAUUUCUUUUGAGCCGAGGGUCUAUUGGAAACAACCUUUGUACCCACAAAGGUUGGGGUAAGGUAUGCAUACCCUCUCCAAAUCCUACCUGUGGUAUUACACUGGGUAGGUUGUUGAUACAUAUUUGUGGGAUGGUUAAGGACAUGGAUACUUUAAACAGAUUGUCACAUGUUAAAGGCUUGGAACACUAACCAUGCGCAUACGGCAUUUUUCAUUUGCUUCAUGCAUGACGAAGAUGACGAUUCUUGAAGUCUUGGUCAUGAUGUAAAAUGGGUAUCCUUCAAAUUUCUGUGGUCAUUGGUCAUGAAGUUUCUUAUAUAAGCUGGUGAGUAUUGCUUCUGGAGUAUGAUGUACCUAAUGUUGGUGCUCAGUGUCAAGCUUGUGAAGCUGAGCAUUUUAGUACAAGCUAGAUCAGACACAUCAGUUGCAUUUUCACAGUGGUGUGGCAAGGCUGUACCUGAUUGCUUCAUAGAGUGCAAAAUAGGAAGCUCUGAAGCUACUUGGAUGAGGCAUAUGUUCUUGAAGAUCAUGUUCACGACCACUUAAGCAGCUCAGGAGCACCUGUUCUUUGGAAAAUCUAGUUGGGGUUAAUUAUUUGCUUUAACGAAGCUCUAUUUUAUUACUAGGCUUCUACU